rnacentral:rRNA from 1 species
CCUACGGGAGGCAGCAGUGGGGAAUAUUGCGCAAUGGGCGAAAGCCUGACGCAGCGACGCCGCGUGGGUGAUGAAGGCCUUCGGGUCGUAAAGCCCUGUCGAGAGGGACGAAUCGGCUCCGACCCAAUACGUCGGAGCCCUGACGGUACCUCUAAAGGAAGCACCGGCUAACUCCGUGCCAGCAGCCGCGGUAAUACGGAGGGUGCGAGCGUUGUUCGGAAUCACUGGGCGUAAAGCGCGUGUAGGCGGUCCGCUAAGUCUGGUGUGAAAGCCCGGGGCUCACCCCCGGAAGUGCACUGGAAACUGACGGACUCGAGUCCCGGAGAGGAGAGUAGAAUUCCUGGUGUAGCGGUGAAAUGCGUAGAUAUCAGGAGGAAUACCGGUGGCGAAGGCGGCUCUCUGGACGGUGACUGACGCUGAGACGCGAAAGCGUGGGGAGCAAACAGGAUUAGAUACCCUGGUAGUCCACGCUGUAAACGAUGAGCACUAGGUGUCGCGGGUAUUGACCCCUGCGGUGCCGCAGCUAACGCACUAAGUGCUCCGCCUGGGGACUACGGCCGCAAGGUUAAAACUUAAAGGAAUUGACGG